rnacentral:rRNA from 1 species
UGAGGAAUAUUGGGCAAUGCCCGCAAGGGUGACCCAGCAACGCCGCGUGGAGGAUGAAUGUCGUAAGAUUGUAAACUCCUGUUAGAGGGGAAGAAUAGUACCGGUUGGACCGGUAUAUGACUGUACCCUCAGAGAAAGCCCCGGCUAACUACGUGCCAGCAGCCGCGGUAAUACGUAGGGGGCAAGCGUUGUCCGGAUUUACUGGGUGUAAAGGGCGCGCAGGCGGGAUAAAAAGUCAGUGGUUAAAUCCUACAGCUUAACUGUAGAACUGCCUUUGAUACUUUUAUUCUUGAGUUCGGGAGAGAGAGACGGAAUUCCAGGUGUAGUGGUGAAAUACGUAGAUAUCUGGAAGAACACCAGUUGCGAAGGCGGUCUCUUGGUCCGACACUGACGCUGAGGCGCGAAAGCGUGGGGAGCAAACA